rnacentral:piRNA from 2 species
UGAACAUAGGCAUGGUGGCGGAGAGAC